AACGCGAAGAACCUUACCUACUCUUGACAUCCUCGGGAUCCUGCAGAAAUGUGGGAGUGCCUUCGGGAACCGAGAGACAGGUGCUGCAUGGCUGUCGUCAGCUCGUGUCGUGAGAUGUUGGGUUAAGUCCCGUAACGAGCGCAACCCUUGUCCUUAGUUACCAGCGCGUUAUGGCGGGAACUCUAAGGAGACUGCCGGUGAUAAACCGGAGGAAGGUGGGGACGAUGUCAAGUCAUCAUGGCCUUUAUGAGUAGGGCUACACACGUGCUACAAUGGGCGGUACAAAGGGUUGCCAAAUCGUGAGAUGGAGCCAAUCCCAAAAAACCGUUCGUAGUCCAGAUUGGAGUCUGCAACUCGACUCCAUGAAGCCGGAAUCGCUAGUAAUCGCGGAUCAGAAUGCCGCGGUGAAUACGUUCCCGGGCCUUGUACACACCGGAGUA
rnacentral:rRNA from 1 species